UACGGAGGGGGCUAGCGUUGUUCGGAAUUACUGGGCGUAAAGCGCACGUAGGCGGCUUUGUAAGUUAGAGGUGAAAGCCCGGAGCUCAACUCCGGAAUUGCCUUUAAGACUGCAUCGCUUGAAUCAUGGAGAGGUGAGUGGAAUUCCGAGUGUAGAGAUGAAAUUCGUAGAUAUUCGGAAGAACACCAGUGGCGAAGGCGACUCACUGGACAUGUAUUGACGCUGAGGUGCGAAAGCGUGGGGAGCAAACAGG
rnacentral:rRNA from 1 species